rnacentral:rRNA from 1 species
UCUCUCUGAAUCUGCGAACGGCUCCGCAAAACAGUUGUAAACUAUAGCAAGCACGCUUAUCAGGCCGCAAGGCUGGCGCUGGGGUUAUAAGGAUAACCCUGGUAAUUCUGAGGCUAAUACAUGAUCGUACCACCUGGCUGACCGGGCAACUGGAAGGCUGGGGGACGUGUGAUAUAUGCAGAUGAUUGCUGGGAAUAGACGCACGUCCAGACCGCCAUAUCAAACAGUCUUGCCUCGACCUCACGGAACGGGCUUGUCUGGGCGGCUCUUGCUGUGUGCUUCUGACCUAUCAACUAGAUGGCAGCGUAAGGGACAUGCUAUGGUUACAACGGGUACAGAGGAUAAGGGUUCGAUCCUGGAGAGUGGGCCUGAGAGAUU